GCGAUUUGCAUAGGAACGGAGAGAGGAAAGGGCUCCCGGCGAGCAGCGGCCGCCCCCGCGGCGGGGGAAGGAGCUGAAGGGGGGCCGACCCACGGCCGGGGGUCGCCUGGGGCUGGGGAGCUGCGAAAGGGGGGCUUACUGGCCUGUUGGAAGCUGAAAUACAACUCACGCAUCAGCAAAACUCCAAACAGGAAGGAAGAGCGUGCGGACAACGUCUAGAGGAUGCAGCUGAACAGCUCGAUGACAACGGGAGCCGAGGCGUCAUAUGUGUACCACCAGGCCACCUGGACGGGUUCGAGUCGUGGAGGUUUACAAAGGCAGAAUUUCAAAAUAAGAGCUUUUAAUCCUUCCACUUAAAGUGUUGAAGACAGUGGGACAAGUCUGGGGAACUGUCAAGGUGGUAAUAGUUGCAAGAUGCUCUGAAAUACCCCUGCAUCCUUUUCUGAAGACCACCAGUAAGACCUAACUAGCUGGGAGCUGGAGCAGACUGAGGAGAUGGUGAGGACUUCCAUCAUAGCAUCCUUGUGGCUGAAAACGUCUCAAUGCAGAUCACAGCCUGUGAGUUUAAGAAAAAAACCUGAAUAAUUCCCAGGAAAACAAACUCUGCCAGUAGGACUUUGGCAUUGAUUAAUGGCCUGUCACACAGCAUGAUGCACAAUUGUCACAAUCUCUUUGCUGUAGCAUGUGCUGCAGUCUUCUCUCUAGGUUGUGGCUUGAGCAUGCAGGCCACUGCCUUGAUCCCAUAGAAGACUCCAUCUGCAGAGGCACUAAGAACGUGAUUUGCCACAUUUCUGAAUCAGGCCCACAUGUCCAUGUGCAUCUGCAGAGCUCUGAAAGGUGGAGAGCAGCAGCUGCUUAUCUUCUUUGAAUUAUGCCAUCAAUGAUUAAAACAGUGUCUCUUAGAUCUGCUACUAAAAAUUUGGUAAAGAUUUUAUCCCCUCCCCCAAGACACUUAAAAAGAAAAAAAAAAGUAAAACAACAUUUUUUCCUAUGGAAACUUUAUACGAAAAUGAAAUGUUUGAUUUAAUUCACAUUGUCUUUGGGUUUGGGACAUUUUUUUAGGCUGGAGAUUUGAAUUCCAAAAGUUUGUGCAAAAUAAGCUACUUUUGCUUGGAAGUGCUAUCACAGAGGCUCAAGAGAAUGUACUGCUCGGGUCUCACACUUCCCUUUUCCUCCAUUGGAUAAGUUCCUUGAUCUUCUGUCUUGGAGAGAAGUGGUGCACAGAGCCCACAUCUGUAUUGGCCAUCCUACUUUCCUCUCUAUUCUCUCUCUCAAUUAUCAAGCAUUCUGCUUGGUUUAAAAUCCACGUUCUCCUACCAAAGCAUCAGGGUAAAUAAAACAGAAUUGAGUUUUAUAAAUGUGUAACAAUCUAGCAGCCUAGUAAAAUACAUUCUUGCCUAUAGUAUGAAUAAUUCAGAAGAAUCAAAGAAGUUCUGAACUAAACUCAGUAAGCUGCUGAGCGAUAUUAGAUUUGGAAGUUAUAGCAGAAACUCAUCAGCUGUGCCCUGGAAGAGCUAAUAUGAAGAAAGGUUGGAGUAGAAUAAAUAUAUUGUGCUUUAUAUGAAGAAAAAAAAAUGUUGUUAGUAUCACUUAAUAUAAGUCACCAUUUUAUGCAUCUUUAUUUUCUCUGGUACAACCAAUAUGCACCAAAUCUACCUUGGACAGCAUAAGCAGGAAAUGAACUCUCUCUCUCUCUCUCUCUCAUUAUAUAUUCACCAAGAGGAAAAAAUAAAAACCUGGUUCCAGCCUCCUUACUUCUUUAGAUCUACUGUUAGUUACAAGUUUUAAAAUGCCUUUGUGUUUAGAUCAAGAAAGUUGGGUGAUUUGAGACAUGUAAAACAAGACUUGAAGUUUUCUUUAAGCCUAUCACUGUAGUGAAAGAAGGACAGUGAGUCGUGUUAGCCAGCUAGAGUUCAUACUCAGCAAUUGAUUUUCUGCUUUGGGCAGGCUUAACUCCAGACUAUGUCGCUACUACUGGAUUAAACCGGGCUGCAAGAAAGUUCUCCAGUGCUGUGGCUAUAUGGCUCUUUAACAGUCCGUGUCCAAACUGUUAAAUUCUCUUGGCAUCCAGAAUAAGGGGACUACAUGCAAACUGGUGUUUGAAUAGUCACUGGCCUGUGUUAAUUUCCAGAUCAGCUCUGGAAAUUUUUGGAGAGUGAUAAUUGGCUUGGGCCAGGGAUCUAUCUGAUGUGUAGAUUUGAAGCUCCAAGGUCCCGGAACAUUUCCUCAGUCACUGUUAAUUACUGGCAUAUAUGUAGCCUAUAGGCUGUGGAGCAAUCCAAGUUUUCAGCCGUUAGGUGACUACUGAUCUAGUCAUUAUUUGGAUUAUAUCCAGGAGUAUGCGGUGGCACAGAAUUUAGGGAAUAAUGGCUCGGGACAGUAAAUCAAACUUUAUCACAGACAAUGCAAACACCAGACUUCAAAAGAUAAUUUCUCUCACUGUGUUUUUGCAUAUUUCUUGCUUCCAGAGUUUCUGAUUACUUUCUAGACUAUGCUUGAACACAAAAGCAGAGCAGAAGUAGAAGAAUGCUAGUUAGUCAUGAAACCAGAAGUGGAGCAACCAGAGCAGUCAUUUGAGAGACCCCAAGGAACACCCAGGUUCGCUUAAUAGAAAAUAAAUAAAUAAAAUAAUUAAUGAAAAAGAUCUCUUUGUUCAAAAAUAGGCUUAAGAAGAUGUAAAUUCUGUAUAGAAUAACAGGGAAAGAGAGAUCAAAAAUGCAUGUAAAACUAAAACAUGAAAUCAUCUGGCUUUUUAGUCUGAGUUGGUUUUGGAAACUUGUUCUCAUUUUGUUGACAGCAAAAUAUCUUUUCUCUAGAGAUUCCAGCAUUUACGUGGUCACUUCAUUGUUUUUCUGUAUUUUAUUUCUUCCUCUAGAGAUUAUCAUUACGUAGCUGAAGUCCAAAUUGUUAACCUGCUUUGUAAUAACAUGGCAUUUUUUUAAGCAAAUAGUGAAAAAUGGGUUAUAAAAAAAUGAGAUCCAAGUCACAUUGUCAUUCAUUGCAAAAUGUUGGGGGACAAAAAGCAAACAGAAAAUAAAAGCAAUAUAUUUUGG